AACAAGGUCUCCGUUGGUGAACCAGCGGAGGGAUCAUUAUCGAGUGUUUAAAACUCCCAAACCCAAUGCGAACCUCAGCGUCGUUGCCUCGGCGGACCGCCCCGGCGCCCUCGGGCCCGGACCAAGGCGCCCGCCGGAGGGACCACAAACUCUUGUAUCUGGAUGCAUUGCUCUGAGUAAACAAGCAAAAUGAAUCAAAACUUUCAACAACGGAUCUCUUGGUUCUGGCAUCGAUGAAGAACGCAGCGAAAUGCGAUAAGUAAUGUGAAUUGCAGAAUUCAGUGAAUCAUCGAAUCUUUGAACGCACAUUGCGCCCGCCAGUAUUCUGGCGGGCAUGCCUGUUCGAGCGUCAUUUCAACCCUCGGGCCCCCCCUUCGGGGAGGGGCGCGGUGUUGGGGGCCGGCCCUGGCCGCCCCCGAAAUGCAGUGGCGACCCCGCCGCGGCCUCUCCUGCGCAGUAAGCAAACGCUCGCAACGAGGGACCCGGAGGACGAGUCCGCCGUAAAACGACCACUCCUUAGAAGUUGACCUCGGAUCAGGUAGGGAUACCCGCUGAACUUAAGCAUA
rnacentral:rRNA from 1 species